UGGUUCUUUCUAGCUCAAUUCUCGUGGUUACAUACGAGUUUCUGAUAACUCACUUCCGUAGCAUUCUUUGCUCGCCAUGGGUAAAGUCCCCAGGCCGAGGACAGAAAGUGUCAGGAUCUAAUGCUUUGGGUCCCUAUUGCAUGGUUACCACUUAUGACCGUUGCAAAAAUGCCAGAUCACAAUAUAGUUAUGUCUGAGAGUGUCUGGGUCGCAGAAUGGCAGAGCCGUGGGGGUUACCCGCUGGUUUAGCUGUCGGCUUCUAGGCCCGGUCACAGCACAAUGGGGCUUACUAAGAGGGAACC
rnacentral:RNase_MRP_RNA from 2 species